rfam:Trachymyrmex zeteki contig13630, whole genome shotgun sequence.
UAAUCUGCCCUUUUCAGGGCAACUAAAUAUUUCAUUUCAAAAAAUAU